rnacentral:lncRNA from 1 species
CUUAAGAUUUUCAUGCCCAAAACCACAAAAUAAUCGUGUAAAUGACUCUUGGCGUGCUUCAUUUGACCAGGAGGUCAGAUGUGACAAAGGUGCUUCUGUCUGCGCAGUGCCGCAGGUUGGGCUCCGCUCAGGUGCUGUAACGUGAGAGCAGGAGCCACGUGACCUCCGCGUGGGAGGUGGGAGGUGGGAGGUGGGAGGAGGAAGGAGGGAGGAAGGUUGGGCAGAAAAAGCGCCUUUACCCAUUGACAGGUACGGCAACAGAUACAUCGGGACAGCCUGCAUUAAAUCUAUUUUCCUCCGAAAUCCAUCUGAAACGACCCUCGAAAGUUGAGUCGUUUGCUUGUUUGCGGACUCAAACGUGGGGAGUCGAUGAUAAACACGCCGAUCGGGGGCGGGUUCGAGUCCGGGCUUCGACCUGCAGUUCAGGUGCGGCAGAAACCACCUACCUGUUGUCGGAAGGACUUUGUCGGGUUUGUUCUAGCGACGCCGGUCAAAGAGAAACCUGUGGACAGAUGACCACUCCUUGUCAAAUGGCUUUCACUUAAGGCUCAUGGAGGUCUCCCUUCUCCUGUGAGGACGCCAAAGCCUGAAACAGGAUCUGAUGAGCUCGCAAUCCAAGAAGAUGAUGGAGCCUUGUUUUGUGGUCCUGGGCCAGUUGCUUCUCCUGUGGAUUGUCAUGGUCCAGGGGCAAAACUCCACAGAAAGAACAGACACCACCAGUGUCACGAACCCUACGGGGCCUAACAUAGCAGCCAUUGUGGCCCCCACUGUUAUUCUGGGCCUUCUGGCCAUUGCUGCUGUAGUGCUGCUGCUGUUCUUCUGCGUAAUCCGGAAGAAGCGGCAGACAGAAGGGACAUACCGGCCCAGUGCCGAGGAGCAGACUGGGGCACGUGGCGUGCAGGCCCCCGAUGCACUUAAGCUGCCCAAGGAGGAGCGCCUCAUCUGAGCAGCACCCGUCCCCUACUCCCAGUUCAGAUAGACCCGCACUGUGAUGGACAAUUAAGACUUGAACCCUGCACUGCUGCCUUUCUGACCUCUUCCUCUCACACUGGAGAUGUUGUUGGAGAUGCAAACCCUGUAGAUGGGAGACAAUCCCAAAGGACACCAGUUCUGCUCAGUCGUCUUUGGGGUCCAUGUCCCACAACCAAGGCUUCCAGUGAAAGGAGUUCAAUCAAUGGACUUCAAGCACAAGUAUGCAUGGAAGUAGAAUCCCUUUUUCAGAGAGAAGUGUCUCUGCAUACACGUACUCCUGAACACAAAGGAGCAGAAUCAGGAUCAGGUGUUGAAGGCCUACAACUCUUUUGUUGGAUGCUUUGAUGUGGCAUUUGGCACAAAUGGAGGAUGGCUUUUCAAUGGUUGGACAUGAUCACAUGUAGCUGUUUGAGCACUUUUGUCACAGGGCUUCAGUAGUAUUUCUUACACAAAAUUAAAUAUACAUAUCUUAACAGACCAUGUUUUGUAUUAAUUCUGAUUUCUUAUAUCAGUAUGAGGUAGGCCACAGUAGAUUUGUCUUCCAUCCCAGAUGACUUUUGACUGUCCUAUGCAGGCCCUUGCAAAAAAAAAAAAAAUUACCUCAUUAUUUCACAUUACUUUUGACCAAGAUCUGCUGAAUGCUUUUCUGGCAGCACCCUAGUCAUUUUGCAAAAUAACAAACAGAUUGAGUGAGAAUCCAUUUAGUUACUAUGCACAGGGUAUAACCUACUGAGUUUAUACUAAAUUUACUAUGGUACCUGUCCAGUGAGUAUACAGCUGUUCAGAUUUACCAUGGCUCUUAAUAUCUCAGUCAGAGUUACUCAGUACUGUGGCAUCAUGAAGGAUUCUGUUUUAAACUAAUGUUAUGUUUUCUCAGAAACAAAUAGUAAAAGUCUGGAAUUGUAUGAAAGUGAUUUCACACAGACUGCAAUGACAGUGGAAAUGGAUGCAGAACAAAAUCGUUUAUACUGUUUGACAAUAAUGUUACACUGUAUUUGGAUUUGCAAGGCUAUUUGUUACACCAAAGUCUUUUUAUUUGUAAUAUUAUUAGUUCAGAUAACCACUCUUGUGUGCUUCGCCAAAGAUGUUAGAAUGAAGCUGACUAAUAUACCUGAAAUAUUGCAGAAUAAAUGUUGCAAAUGAUAGUCCUUGGGAUUUUCC